GGGGCCUGGUCAGCCAGAGGGACUACGAGGCGGAGGGCUAGGAGGUGGUGGUGCUGGGGGCGCCCUUGCAGGACCAGGCAAGCCGCAGCUCGGCGGGUGCGUCAGCAAACAGCAAUAUUCCUCUGAAGAACUGGGAGAGAGACGUUCUGGAUGGCACUUCUUCAAGCUGAAUGCUUCUGAGCUUAUGCAUGUAUAAAACCAGAGAGAACAGUGUUCCUGAGCAUGUGCAGAAUGUAUUUACUUUGUGAUUCGGAGUGCUCCUUCAACUGUUAGCUGUAUGUUGUUGCUUUUGGAUACUGUUGUUAUAUCUUUCUUUUUGUUGUAAUGCAUGCAGUCUAAUAUGGUAGGAGGUAUAGAAAUGUUUUAAUAAAUAGUAAGUAAAGUGUUCAGAGGCUCCCUGCCUUGUGGAGUUAGGUGGUGCCCUCUCUUACCUGAGAGGAGAUCACAGGUGGUUGUCUCAUGAGUGGCAGCUAGACUGGUGACUGGGAGUGGCCACUGAGACCAUAUAACACCGGUCUUGAAAGACCUACACUGGUUUCCGAUUCCCAAUUCAAAGUGUUGGUGCUGACCUUUAAAGCCCUAAACGGCCUCGGUCCAGUAUACCUGAAGGAACGUCUCCAUCUCCAUCAUUCUGCCCAGACACCGAGGUCCAGCGCCGAGGGCCUUCUGGCGGUUCCCUCACUGCAAGAAGCCAAGUUACAGGGAACCCGGCACAGGGCCUUCUCGGUAGUGGCACCCGCCCUGUGGAACGCCCUCCCACCAGAUGUCAAAGAGAAAAAUAACUACCAAACUUUUAGAAGACAUCUGAAGGCAGCCCUGUUUAGGGAAGCAUCUAAUGUUUAAUAGGUUAUUGUAUUUUAGUGUUUUAUUGGAAACCGCCCAGAGUGGCUGGGGAAACCCAGCCAGAUGGGCAAGGUAUAAAUAAUAAAUUAUUAUUAUUAGCGGAUGAGGCUUGGCCCCUACUUCUGGGCUGUAGGACUAGCAGGGCAGCUGGGAAAACUUAACUGCCUGGCCCAUUGGGACACUUUCCCCAGGUCACAAAACCCUCCCUGGCCCAGCAUCACACUCACCUCAAAAAAAUGUGCCCAGCUAGAAUAUGACCUUCAUCAAUUAUCAUACUUCUUGCUUGCCUUAAUGGAGAACAGAGGGUGUAUGGUUGUGAAAAAGCUAGCCUAGAGUGCAAAAGUAAAAUUCCCAUUGCUUGCCCAGCCAAAUGUUUGCUUCUGAUCACAGCUACCUUUGCCUCUGGCCCUACCCAACAAAGGCCCCUGGAAGCUUACCCAGAAUUGAAUGCAGCUGUCUUACUGAAAAAUGUUUCCCUGCCUUUGCUGUAAAAUUGUUCUCAGCUCCUCUCCGAGAUAAUCUUUUCUAGUCCAGAACAUCAUGUGGCUCUGCAAUGUGCAUUACAGCACAGCCACACCCCCAUGUGACACAUAAGUGUGGUAUGACUGCAAAUAACAUACACAUCAAGAAUGGCUUGAGUGGAUUUUUUUUUAUAUACUGUACCAGCAAUUGACUCAAGAAUGGAAAGCAGAAGGUAGGCGUGAACUGACAGUUCUCACACUGUCUGGGAAUUAAGCAUAAGAAGAGCUCUGCUGGAUCAGGCCAAUGGCCCAUCUAAUCCAGCAUCCUGUUCUCACAGUGGUCCACCAGAUGCCUGUUAUAAGAAUUUUAAGGUCUUAUAUAUAUAAAAUAGAUGUUCGUAAAUGUACCAAGCAAACACAUACAAAUAUGUAAACCACAUGUCUGAAACCCACAGAAAAGUCCUGAAACCAUUUUUUUCUCUCCCAAAAUGACCUCAAAUAUUUCUCUGCAAGGUCGACGGAAAUGGGAAAUCUCCCCAUUGUCUCUCUCACAAAUCCUGUCUUAAGGUCACAUUUAAGAUAUGAAUAGUAUGUGAGCCUGUGACCUGUGACCUGGAUUCAGGAGCUGAGUAACAAAAGAGUGGCCAGGAUGCCCCGGUAAUUCAGUCAAGCAACCUAGCAAACAAGAGAAAAAAACAAUGCCCUCAGAUUUCUGUGGUAGUCCGCUCUUUCUGUGAUGUAUGUAUGAUGUUUCUGGGGGUGGUCUUGGACUCCAGAGCAGGCAAUUUAAAAUGUCUAUAUAAGAACUUGCAUGCAUGAUUUAGGGUCCCUCCCCCCGCCUUGUGUGUGUUGGGGAGCACCCUGUUGCAACAGCUUUAAUAAAGAUCAGGCUUACUUGCUGCUUUGCUUCUC
rnacentral:lncRNA from 1 species